rnacentral:tRNA from 1 species
AGAGAGGUGGCCGAGUGGUCGAAGGCGCACGCCUGGAAAGUGUGUAUACACCAAAAAGUGUAUCGAGGGUUCGAAUCCCUUCCUCUCUGC